rnacentral:rRNA from 1 species
GUUAGGAAUAUUGGACAAUGGGCGCAAGCCUGAUCCAGCCAUGCCGCGUGAACGAUGAAGGCCUUCGGGUUGUAAAGUUCUUUAGCCGAUGAUUAUAAUGACUGUAGUCGGAAAAUAAGCCCCGGCUAACUUCGUGCCAGCAGCCGCGGUAAUACGAAGGGGGCGAGCGUUAUUCGGAAUCACUGGGCGUAAAGCGUGCGUAGGCGGUCUCGUAAGUUAGGAGUGAAAGCUCAGGGCUCAACCUUGGAAUUGCUCUUAAUACUGCAAGGCUAGAAUCUCGGAGAGGAUAGCGGAAUUUCCAGUGUAGCAGUGAAAUGCGUAGAUAUUGGAAGGAACACCAGUGGCGUAAGCGGCUAUCUGGACGAGUAUUGACGCUGAGGCACGAAAGCGUGGAGAUCAAACAGGAUGAGAUACCCGUGUAGUCC